GUUCUGCUGAAGAGUCCCACACUAGAAUGAAACAACUGUCCAGUAC
rnacentral:hammerhead_ribozyme from 1 species